ACGCUCGACACCUACGGGAGGCAGCAGUGGGGAAUAUUGCACAAUGGGGGAAACCCUGAUGCAGCGACGCCGCGUGAGCGAAGAAGUAUUUCGGUAUGUAAAGCUCUAUCAGCAGGGAAGAAACUGACGGUACCUGACUAAGAAGCACCGGCUAAAUACGUGCCGGCAACCGCGGUAAUCUGAGCGGGCUGGCAAGGC
rnacentral:rRNA from 1 species